rnacentral:tRNA from 1 species
GCGGUAGUGGUUCAGUGGUAGAAUGUUUGCCUUCCAUGCAGGAUACCUGCAUUCAGUUCCCAGCCAUUGUA